CCGGGACGGGGUCGGAGGUAACGCGUGGAUAACCUGCCUCACACAGGGGAGUAACAGUUAGAAAUGACUGCUAAUACCGCAUAAGCGCACGGUACCGCAUGGUACAGUGUGAAAAACUCCGGUGGUGUGAGAUGGAUCCGCGUCUGAUUAGGUAGUUGGUGAGGUAACGGCCCACCAAGCCGACGAUCAGUAGCCGACCUGAGAGGGUGACCGGCCACAUUGGGACUGAGACACGGCCCAA
rnacentral:rRNA from 1 species